UGGGAAAUCAUGUCAUGUUAAGCUGGAAA
rnacentral:piRNA from 1 species